UACGUAGGGGGGCAAGCGUUGUCCGGAUUUAUUGGGCGUAAAGAGCGUGUAGGCGGCCAGGUAGGUCUGGUGUGAAAACUCGAGGCUCAACCUCGAGAGGUCAUCGGAAACCAUCUGGCUAGAGUCCGGAAGAGGAGAGUGGAAUUCCCGGUGUAGCGGUGAAAUGCGCAGAUAUCGGGAAGAACACCUAUGGCGAAGGCAGCUCUCUGGGACGGUACUGACGCUGAGACGCGAAAGCGUGGGGAGCGAACAGG
rnacentral:rRNA from 1 species